CGCGCCCCUCCCUGCCCCGCCGCCGCCGUCGCCGCUCCCCGCACUCGCUCCUCCUCCCCCCGCAUCUCCCUCCCUCCCACGCAACCGCCUCUCUCCCUCGCUCGCUCCUCAUCUGGCGACGGCGGCGGCGGCUCCGGCGCCCGCGUUCUUCCUCCCACCAACCACGGCGCUCCUCCCCAUCGCCAUGGACGAGCUUGAGCUCCAGGUGCUCCUUCCCUGCCCAGAAGCCCAAGGGCGUUGCGGGGCGGCAAGGGGCUCAGCCUCAACCCGCCAACCCUAGCUGCCCCCACGCCGCCGCCGGCUCCUUCUCCCGGCCUGCCGGAUCCCGUCAUCCGCAUCCCUGGCGUCGUCGUCGUCGCCGUCGUCCUCGCGUGCACUCGGCAGGAGAAGCGGAGCACGAGUCGAGGUGUGCCACCCCCGAUUCUGCAGUGCGCCCGACGGCUGCUUCUGCAGCAGCAGCGGUGGCAAGCCUUGGACUGGCUCGGGACACCAGAAGCGGGCAAUGAAGGCCAUUGCCAUGUUGGUAUUGUUCCAGACAUCGAAGAUUUUUGAUAUGUGAAGGCCGAGGCAAAAAUGUCAGUAACUACAAAGAGGGUACCAGCAUCAUCAAAUAAGAACAGUUCACCAGAAAAUUGGGAAGCAGUUCUUGGAGGUAUUAAAAACAUUAGGUUAUCUGGCCAGGCCCCCGUAGAUACCAAGGGCCGUGAAAAGGCUGGUUCUCUUCUUCCACCCAAGGAAAGAAGGUUUAUAGUUCUUAUAUCAACAAUGAUGUCAAGCCAGACAAUUAAGUUACACAUGGCACAAAGCUGAGCCUGCGCUGCGGCUACUGCCUGAUGACGAUGACAAUCUGAUCGAGUAGAUCAAUCAUGAGUUUUAUCAUACUUUGAGCCAAAUCUUCGCGCCUUUUUUCUUUUAUUUGGUUAUACUGUGUAAUUAGGAAUCAAUAAUAAAAGUAGAUGGUACAAAGUUGUGCUCCCUAGCUUUUUUUCCAUUGGUCUUGCUAAGCAAGUUAAUGUAUAUCUUCAUUUAUAUAGCAUCUCCAGUGUUCCAUUAUGUUCAGCUAUGUAUGUUCACUUGGUCCCUUAGUUACUUCCUGGGCCCUCUUUGCUUGCCUUACUCCCAUCUAAUUUUAGAAUUAACUUUAAUGAUAUUGAUAGGUUAAGGUCAUUCAUCAUGAGAGGUGUUGAUGUGGAGUCCCAUGUGUACCUACUGUUGCCCCAUCAAUUAUGUAGUGGCCUCUUUCUGAACAUUGUUUGGUUCCAACGAAGAUCUAUUAGUAGUGCUGAACCGAUUUUAAAAACAACAACAUUGGUCAGUUUCUUAAUUUCGUGUACUGUUUUCACUUUAGGACCAGAAAACUGAACCUCGACAUAAUGACAUACUCCACCGGCUUAAACUUUCCUCUACACACAGUACCUUCUCAUUCAUCAUGUGCACGUUAAUGCUCUCUUCUUAUAUUAUUCAUGAUUACUUUGCUUGCUACUAGCAUGGUACAUGACAUUACAAUCUUAGCAGAGGCUUGUGCAACAAACCUGGCCUGUGUGUAAUAGACUUUUUAUAUUAUUUUAUUCUCCAAUUUUGCCAGCUAAGGAUUUAAUUAUACUGCAUAUCAUGUUGCACAAGGUAUCUUUACAAAUGGGUUCAGUUCCAACUCGAUAGAUGUAUGAGUAUCAGAUCUUAAAUUGCUUGUCUUGGAAACUGUUUUCUCAUCUACUUUCAGAGAUCAAGCCUGACAAAAUCUACACUGGUUCACCUUAAUUACAUGCUGGGUUCAGCAUAACGGCUAAGGGGAGACGAGGUGGAAAUUUAGCUUUUUAGUAUAGGACUGAUUUCCUGCAAAAAAAUAGUAUAGGGUUGUGAAGAUAUUCACGAAAAGAAGUACUCCCUCUCAUCCGAAUUAAAUGAUGCAGCCUCUAUACAAUGUCUAUAUGUUCCUCGAUUUUAUUAGAUGCAUAUAUGUGGACAUCUCCUUUUUUGCCAGAUUGCUAUUUGAAGUUUACAACCUUAUAGAUUGCUCUAUAUAUGGCAGUAAAUAGUUUGUAUUUUAGCGCCUUAGUUGUGAAUUUGUUAUAGAAGUAUUCUAACUGAUAUUCUAACGUCAUCAUGUAGAAUGGACAUGAUCUCGCCCAUUGGGAAUUGCAUGCUGCAGUAAAGCAAUUUGGUCAACCAUAUUCAGCGUUCGGCGGAGUCCUUGGUCAUUUCUUUGAGGAGCAGCUCCUUCUCAGGUGUUCUCUUCAAGAGAUGCUUGCACACCUUGUUUGGGUGGCGAGGUUGGAGUCUCAUGGCGAGUCUGAGGAUUUUAUUCCUAUCCGAGUAGUCGUAGGUAUUUAUAGUUGUAUCAGAAAACACCUACCAAGUACUUCUAGGCGUUGCAAGUUUUUUGUAGCAAUGCGACAAUGAUCUUAUUCAUAAACAGUGGUGUUGAUGAUCAAGUCUUGGGUGACUUACAUUAACUAAUUUAUAGAACCAAGUACUUUAUUUUGCCCGGUACAUCAUAUAUGCGCUUUGUACUCUUUUUUCCCCAUUAUGCUAUGUAAGAUUAGCUUACAUCAGUCGGUGUUUGGAUGAAUGAGUUGUAUCAGUGAUGUAAAGUCGCUUAAUGUAUAAUUAACAUGACUUCUUGUGCACAUAUAAGCUUUGUUGUGGAUACCA